ensembl:lncRNA
AGCUAACACUGCAGAGCACCAAAUCCAGAGUGGCCUUCUUCGAAGAACUUUAACACACGCACACGCACUGCUUUUUAAAUGGAAAUGUGCCUUGGAACUUUUUGGCGUCUACAUUCCUGGUGCGUGCAAGUGAUUUGCCGCGCUCCAUGACCUCACUCACAGCCUCCUGGAAAUCGCCAUGGUUACCAUGCACCGGCCACCUCCUUAAUUAACUCUGUGGAUCAUGGACAGAAGCAGAGAACUCGCAGAGCAAGGUUCCAUAUUUUCGUCUUUUUGACACUCAGUCAGAAAUGUAUAAUGUGGAUCCGUUUCUUUACUAAGAAACACAUUUUUUCAUUCUGGAAGUUGAAAAGCAAAAAAAUAUCUGACAAUGUUAUUAGUUAUUUUUGCUGAACAUUUGAGCAAAUUAUACUGUUUGAACUUUCAAGGUCACCUCAUAACAAUAUUCAGUUCCAAAUGUUCCUACUGGAGUCUGAAUAACUUGAUGCAUUCUGGGAAUUUGAAAAGUCAUUUUGAGAAGUACAUAUCAAUGUCUACUUGAAGUCAAAUAGGUCCACGGAUUUGGCUGAAUACAUACAUACAUACAUGCAAUACAAUAAUUGUUCUAUAUCAAAUUGAAAUUGAUGAAUAGAAUAUCUGCCUUUUUACUGCAUAAUGUGUAUUAUACUCUGCAUAAUUUGUGCACUACAGGUCUUGAACAUACCCCCUUCAUCUCAGAACUUUAUAAACGUUGACGAUUUGUGUUAAGCUAAAAGACUAAAGAUGCAUCUUAUUUUUUAUCCUACACCAUUGCGAACCGUGCACGACUCUCUGGACCUGUUCUCUGGGUAUGAAGAGCAUGCUUCACUACAGAACAAAAUUUAUCUGGAUAAUUCAUCAGGGUUUUGUAUUUAAGUAUCAUGAUGCAUUAUCCGGGCAUUAGCAUAUGAUCAAGAUUAUCAGACAUAUAAACCGCUACAUAACAUUUGCUUUUUUAAUCUUUAAACGAGUACACAAAUCUAUACAAACUUAUUCAAUGUUUACUUUAAGCCGUGGAAGCUAUAUUUUUCAUAAUCUAUUUCUUACUGCAACUGACCAACUUAUGUUUUUUAUAUUUGAGUAAAAUCUUUCAACUUUGGGGUUCAUGCAGAUUAUGAACAACCCGUUUCUUUAACGGUGAAGAAGGUUAUUUCUUGGUUCCCAACAAGUGUUUAUUUAGGCUGUGCUCCUGUGUACACGUUUCUCCCUCAAGGAUGCGUUCUUUCUGUGUUUUUGUGAUUAAAUUGAGCCCAUGUUACCACGACAUGAGGCCUUUAUCUGUACUUGUUGUUUCCAUAUAUCAUGCUACGUGGUUAGCGGUUGCUAGCCAUUAUCUCAGAAUAGGGUACUCUGAGCUGAAGUACAAGUGCACUAUGGUCUGCUUGGAAAGAACCUGACAGAAAUUGGAACUGCAUGAUGGAGAGGCCUGUAUUGACUGUGGCCCAUUCUCAAUAGGGAUCACAAUGGUUAAUUUUGGAAAUAUCCACUUGCUCGGGUUUGUAUCUAUUUUGACCUAAUGUUACAUGUUGGAUCAAUCUUUUUUUCUUUUUUUUUGUAUGUGAACUAUGUAUGAUUCUUGUAUUAUACUUAAUGUGUUGGGAAAAUGUACUUCAUUCCUGCCUUCCCUAAACAAGCAUAGUAAGCAAUAUAUUAAUACAUAUUUUUUGGUUUACUCUGGGAUAAAUUAUAUAUUUUUUCUAUGAACAACUUCUACAGAGAAAAUAUAUUACAGAAAUGUAUUUUUUUGUGCGCGAGGAUCAAAUAAAUGUCUUAUUCUUCUA